CCACACCUAAAACUUUCACGUGAACUGUGUUGUCGCUGUUGGGGGCUGGGCUGGCGCUUUUGGGCGUCGGCUGGGCUCCAUCAAACGAGGCUCUGGGCUGCAAAGUCGAGGGUAGUAGUUACUUUUUGUAAACCCUUUCUUCUUUUUCUGAUCAUACGGGGGGGACAAAAGUCUCUGCUUUUAACUAGAUAGCACCUUUCACCAGGGGAUGUCUAGGCUCGCACAUCGAUAAAAAACGCUGCGAACUGCGAUACGUAAUGCGAAUUGCAGGAUUCAUGGAGUCAUYRAAAUUUUGAACGCAUAUGGCNCUUCCGGGUUAUGCCUGGAAGUAUGCCUGUAUCAGUGUCCGUACMUCCAUUUUGGNCUUCCUUCCUUCCGKGUAGYCGGKGGCGGGAACGCGCARACKUGAAGUGUCUUGCUGGCUGGUYUUCCUUUUGGGGGGGGCGUGGCCGGCGAGUCCUUUGAAAUGUAAGACACUGUUCUUCUCUUUGCUGGAAAAGCGCGCGUUGUGUGGUUGUGGAGGCUGCCGUUGUGGCCAGUCGGCGACUGACUUCGUGCUGAGGCGUGUGGAGAGGAGCUCGAUUCGCGGUAUGGUUGGCUUCGGCUGAACUUCUGCUUAUGGGGCUGUUUUCUGCUGUUUCGGCGUGGCGGGGUUGGUGAACCGUAGUCAUGGUGGCUUGGCUUUUGAACCGCGCGGCUGGUGCGCGAAGUAUGGUGGCUUCGGCCGAGAGGACGACCUAUUUGGGACGAUUGUGCGGCCUCGUGCUGCAUCUCAA
rnacentral:rRNA from 1 species